CCUACGGGUGGCAGCAGUGAGGAAUAUUGGUCAAUGGACGAGAGUCUGAACCAGCCAAGUAGCGUGAAGGAUGACUGCCCUAUGGGUUGUAAACUUCUUUUAUAUGGGAAUAAAAUGUUCCACGUGUGGGAUUUUGUAUGUACCAUAUGAAUAAGGAUCGGCUAACUCCGUGCCAGCAGCCGCGGUAAUACGGAGGCUCCGAGCGUUAUCAGGCUUUAUUGGGGUUAACGGGUGCGUAGGUGGAUUGUUAAGUCAGUUGUGAAAGUUUGGGGUUCAACCGUAAAAUUGCAGUUGAAACUGGCAGUCUUGAGUACAGGAGAGGUGGGCGGAAUUCGUGGUGUAGCGGUGAAAUGCGUAGAUAUCACGAGGAACACCGAUUGCGAAGGCGGUUCACUGGACUGCAACUGACACUGAGGCGCGAAAGUGUGGGGAUCAAACAGGAUUAGAUACCCGAGUAGUC
rnacentral:rRNA from 1 species